AGUGGCGAAAGGGUGAGUAAUACGUGGGCAACCUACCCAUAGGACUGGGACAACCUCGCGAAAGCGGGGCUAAUACCAGAUGUUGUCACAGAGACCACGGUUUUUGUGAUGAAAGGAGCAAUCCGCCUAUAGAGGGGCCCGCGGCCUAUCAGCUAGUUGGUGAGGUAACGGCCCACCAAGGCUAAGACGGGUAGCUGGCGUGAGAGCGCGACCAGCCACACUGGAACUGAGAUACGGUCCAGACUCCUACGGGAGGCAGCAGUCGGGAAUUUUGGACAAUGGGCGAAAGCCUGAUCCAGCGACGCCGCGUGCGGGAAGACGUCCUUCGGGAUGUAAACCGCUGUCGGAUGGGACGAACACAAUGACGGUACCAUCGGAGGAAGCACCGGCUAACUCUGUGCCAGCAGCCGCGGUAAGACAGAGGGUGCAAGCGUUGUCCGGAUUGACUGGGUGUAAAGGGCGUGUAGGCGGCCGAGUAAGUCUGACGUGAAAACAUCACCGCUCAACGGGAUGUACGCGUUGGAAACUGUUCGGCUUGAGUACAGGGGGGGUUAACGGAAUUCCAGGUGUAGCGGUGGAAUGUGUAGAUAUCUGGAGGAACACCGGUGGCGAAAGCGGUUAACUGGCCUGUGACUGACGCUGAGGCGCGAAAGCCAGGGGAGCAAACGGGAUUAGAUACCCCGGUAGUCCUGGCCGUAAACGAUGGAUACUAGGUGUGGGAGGUAUCGACCCCUUCCGUGCCGCAGUUAACGCAUUAA
rnacentral:rRNA from 1 species